ensembl:lncRNA
AAGGCUGAAGCGGUCCCUCCAACGGACCCUCCAGCGAAGACGGACGAAGGCUGAUGAAGGCUGGAGCGGUCCCACGGACCCUCCAGCAGACGACGAAGGCUGGAGCGGUCCCUCGGACCCUCCAGCGAACACAAACGAAGGCUGACGAAGGCUAGAGCGGUCCCACUGACCCUCCAGCAGACGAAGGCCGGAGCGGUCCCUCGGACCCUCCAGCAAAGACAAACGAAGGCUGGAGCGGUUCCCCGGACCCUCCAGCGAAGGCGGAUGAAGGCUGGAGCAGUCCCUCGGACCCUCCAGCAGACGACGAAGGCCGGGACGGUCCCUCGGACCCUCCAGCGAAGACAGACGGCUGAAGCGGUCCCUCCCCCGGACCCUCCAGCGACGGCGGACGGCUGAAGCGGUCCCCCGGGCCCUCCAGCGAUUGGACGAGCCCCCAUAUGUUACACCCCGGCCUAGGCAACCGGAGUGCAACACGAAAAAAAGUAAAAAUAAAGAAAAAAAAACACACAAAAAAAAACCCACUAAGGCUCUCCACCAAAGACGUCAAACUAUUUACAACGGGGGGAGAAAAAGAUCGCGACCAUGACAACUGACACACAGGGCUUAAAUACAUGGAGGGAACAAUCAGGGAAUGGACAACAGGAGGGAAACACAGCUGGGGCAAAUCAGAACUGACGAGACAGGGAAAAUGUAAACUGAACACACUAAGAUGACACAGACUUUCAAAGUAAAGUAGGAAACACAUAACAGUCACGCAAAAACAACACAUUACCAACGCCAAAUCGUCAAUCCCGGAGGAGCACCUAGACACUCAAAUCCACACACAAUUACGGUCACAGCCGUAACACAAUCAAGGUCUCGUUUAAAAACCAGAGGUGACCGUGCUUUUGCCAUCGCUGCCCCUGGACUCUGGAAUAAUCUCCCAGUGGAAAUCUGUACAUCGGAAUCAAUUCAGUCGUUCAAAUCCCAUUUGAAAACACACUUGUUCAACUUAGCUUUUGAAAACAAUUAGUGUGACUUUCAUUCGGCCUGCACUACACCAUGUAAAUGCAAUUUUAAGUAUAAUUGUACUAUUUGUUCUGCCCGC